AGAGUUGAUCCUGGCUCAGAGCGAACGUUAGCGGCGGGCCUAACACAUGCAAGUCGAACGAGAACGCUCCUUCGGGAGUUAUUAAAGUGGCGCACGGGUGAGGAACGCGUAGGUAAUUAACCCUUUGGCGGGGGACAACAUUCCGAAAGGAAUGCUAAUACCGCGUAAGACCACGCUCACUACGGUGAAAGUGGUUAAAGGUGCCUCAAAGCACCACCAAAGGAUGAGCCUGCGUCCCAUCAGCUUGUUGGUGAGGUAAUGGCUCACCAAGGCGAAGACGGGUAGCUGGUCUGAGAGGAUGAUCAGCCACACUGGCACUGGAACACGGGCCAGACUCCUACGGGAGGCAGCAGUGAGGAAUAUUGGGCAAUGGGCGAAAGCCUGACCCAGCCACGCCGCGUGUGUGAUGAAGGCCUUCGGGUCGUAAAGCACUGUGGGGAGAGACGAACAUGCGCAGGAGGAAAUGCCUGCGUACUGACGGUACCUCCUUAGCAAGCACCGGCUAACUCUGUGCCAGCAGCCGCGGUAAUACAGAGGGUGCAAACGUUAAUCGGAAUUACUGGGCGUAAAGCGUGUGUAGGCGGUCUCGUAAGUUAGAUGUGAAAGCCCCGGGCUUAACCUGGGAACUGCAUUUAAAACUGCUUGACUAGAGUUAUGGAGAGGGAAGUGGAAUUUCAGGUGUAGCAGGUGAAAUGCGUAGAGAUCUGAAGGAACACCAGUGGCGAAGGCGACUUCCUGGACUAAACUGACGCUGAGGAACGAAAGCGUGGGUAGCAAACGGGAUUAGAUACCCCGGUAGUCCACGCCGUAAACGAUGUCAACUAGCCGUUGGGCUAUUUACAGGUUUAGUGGCGGAGCUAACGUAUUAAGUUGACCGCCUGGGGAGUACGGCCGCAAGGUUAAAACUCAAAUGAAUUGACGGGGGCCCGCACAAGCGGUGGAGCAUGUGGUUUAAUUCGAUGCAACGCGAAGAACCUUACCUACCCUUGACAUCCAGAGAAUCUGUUAGAGAUAGUAGAGUGCCUUCGGGAACUCUGAGACAGGUGCUGCAUGGCUGUCGUCAGCUCGUGUCGUGAGAUGUUGGGUUAAGUCCCGUAACGAGCGCAACCCUUAUCCUUAGUUGCUAGCAGGUAAUGCUGAGAACUCUAGGGAGACUGCCGGUGAUAAACCGGAGGAAGGUGGGGACGACGUCAAGUCAUCAUGGCCCUUAUGGGUAGGGCUACACACGUGCUACAAUGGUCGGUACAGAGGGCCGCAAACUCGCGAGAGUAAGCUAAUCCCAGAAAGCCGAUCUUAGUCCGGAUUGGAGUCUGCAACUCGACUCCAUGAAGUUGGAAUCGCUAGUAAUCGCGAAUCAGAACGUCGCGGUGAAUACGUUCCCGGGCCUUGUACACACCGCUCGUCACACCAUGGGAGUGGGUUGCAAAAGAAGUGGGUAGUCUAACCUUCGGGAGGGCGCUCACCACUUUGUGAUUCAUGACUGGGGUGAAGUCGUAACAAGGUAACC
rnacentral:rRNA from 1 species